rnacentral:rRNA from 1 species
CCUACGGGGUGCACCAGUGGGGAAUAUUGCACAAUGGGCGCAAGCCUGAUGCAGCCAUGCCGCGUGUAUGAAGAAGGCCUUCGGGUUGUAAAGUACUUUCAGCGGGGAGGAAGGUGUUGAGGUUAAUAACCUCAGCAAUUGACGUUACCCGCAGAAGAAGCACCGGCUAACUCCGUGCCAGCAGCCGCGGUAAUACGGAGGGUGCAAGCGUUAAUCGGAAUUACUGGGCGUAAAGCGCACGCAGGCGGUUUGUUAAGUCAGAUGUGAAAUCCCCGGGCUCAACCUGGGAACUGCAUUUGAAACUGGCAAGCUAGAGUCUCGUAGAGGGGGGUAGAAUUCCAGGUGUAGCGGUGAACUGCGUAGAGAUCUGGAGGAAUACCGGUGGCGAAGGCGGCCCCCUGGACAAAGACUGACGCUCAGGUGCGAAAGCGUGGGGAGCACACAGGAUUAGAUACCCUCGUAGUC